rnacentral:rRNA from 1 species
UACAGAGGUCUCAAGCGUUGUUCGGAUUCAUUGGGCGUAAAGGGUGUGUAGGUGGCGCGCUAAGUCGGGUGUGAAAUUUCGGAGCUUAACUCCGAAACUGCAUUCGAUACUGGCGUGCUUGAGGACUGGAGAGGAGACUGGAAUUCAUGGUGUAGCAGUGAAAUGCGCAGAUAUCAGGAGGAACACCGGUGGCGAAGGCGGGUCUCUGGGCCGGAACUGACGCUGAGGAGCGAAAGCGUGGGGAGCGAACAGG